rnacentral:rRNA from 1 species
CCGGCGACCGGCGCACGGGUGAGUAACACGUAUGCAACCUGGCCGUCACAGGUGGAUAACCGGAAGAAAUUCCGACUAAUACAGCAUAACACUCCUGAGGGGACAUCCCUUGGGAGUCAAAGGAGGCAACUCCGGUGACGGAUGGGCAUGCGGCGCAUUAGGUAGUUGGUAGGGUAACGGCCUACCAAGCCGACGAUGCGUAGGGGUUCUGAGAGGAAGGUCCCCCACACUGGUACUGAGACACGGCCCAAACUCCUACGGGAGGCAGCAG